UACGUAGGCAGCGAGCGUUGUUCGGAGUUACUGGGCGUAAAGGGUGUGUAGGCGGUUCUUUAAGUUUGGUGUGAAAUCUCCCGGCUCAACUGGGAGGGUGCGCCGAAAACUGGGAGACUAGAGUGCGGGAUGGGAGAGUAGAAUUCCUGGUGUAGCGGUGAAAUGCGUAGAUAUCAGGAGGAAUACCGGUGGUGUAGACGGCUCUCUGGACCGCCACUGACGCUGAGACACGAAAGCGUGGGUAGCAAACAGG
rnacentral:rRNA from 1 species